rnacentral:lncRNA from 1 species
CUUCUCCGCGCAGAGACCUGUCGGCCAACAGCCUGGGCGAGCUGCCACCAUCUCUCUUCCAGGGCCUGGUGGGCCUCCAGCAGCUGAAUAUUUCCUACAACCCCUUGAAACAGAUCUUCCCAGGCCAGUUUGAAAGCCUGCCCCAGCUGCGGUCCCUGAGCUUGGAAGGGCUGGAGAUCCCCAACAUCCGCAACGUGACCUUGCAGAAGCUCACCAACCUCUCCCACAUGGAUAUUACAUAGGUGAUCUGGAAAAGAGAGAUUGUUUCAGGCUGACGUGCACAGACCCUAAGCAACGUGCUGAAAACUGUGGUUAAAUAAUCCCAUUAGAGGUCCUUUUGCUUGUGCUCCGGGAUAAUGACCUAAGAACGCUAGUGAUGUGUAUGUAGAUAGACAGGCUGGACAGGCGUCACCGGCACGGUGAAAAUAUGGCCAAAGAGCCAGCUGCAACUGCUUUGGCUUUUCUUUGGAAAGAAAAAAAAAAAAAAAAAAAAAGCAUUGAUUUUCUCCAGAUGCACGUUUUAGAGUACCUGUAAUGAAAGAUGACUGUACAUCUUCCUUUCUGUAAUUGGUCUGUUUGGACUAUAAAUACAGUACGUUUUCUACCUGACUUGCUAAUAAGCAAUCAUUUUCUCUCCUUUUAUCUAUAAUUAA